UAGAAAUGUUCUUUUAAUAAAUGUACUAAAUAAGAUGCAUAAUUUAGCUCCUUCUCUGUAGCCUGCCGGCCAGCUGCCAGCUCUGAACUCCUUCUCGGCCUCUCUCUUUUCCUCCUCCCUUGAUCUCUCACCAUCCCUCCCUUGGGUUUGACUCAGCACGGAAAUUACCUGCUGGCCUGGUAAAAACAAUCUCAUUAAAAAGCCAUCACAGUUGUGCCUGAUGGCUUCAUUUGUCCCCCAGUGGCUCAAUUUAUACCUUCCUUUGGAACAAGCAGAGAGUGAGUACUCUCCAGGAUGGCUUUUUCCAGCUGUACUAUAUGCAUCCCAACAGACCACAGGCCUCAAGUAAAAGUCAACAAGCUGAGAAUCCGAAGACCUUGUUUUAAGAUAGACCGUUGGAAAACUGUUUGCUAUCUGGGUUUUGAACUUCAGGAAAAAAGGAAUAUCCUGGACUGACAUUGCAUAGCAAAGACUGAAUAACUCCAGCAGAAUAAGUUCUGUGUAUUUCAUGGUGACUUCUUACUUUAUCUGUUAUGAUAACCCAGUACUUUAAGAAUAUAAUCAACUCUUCAACAUUGAACUGAUGCUGUGGCAAGUGGGAUUUGUUUUUGUUUUUCUCUGACAUUCCCCCUUCUGGAAUUAGCUAUUCAUAUUCUAGUUCUCAUUCAGCUUUAUCUCAUUAAAUUAUUUAGCAAUUCACUGCUUUUAAGGUUUCACCUCCUCCUUACAUAACAAGCCAUUGUGAUUUCUCUAAGCCCCGUUUUUACUAAAACACAGUGUGCCCUUUCCAGGAAAUGCAGCAGAGUGAAGACUGAAUUAUUACAACUCAGACAUUUAUUUAAAACUCCAUCUCCUUGGCAAAGUAUCAUUCUUUACCAAUAAAGACAAUGAAAAUAAAUUCUAAAAUCCCA
ensembl:lncRNA